GGAGAGUUGCCUGAGAGGCCGAAAGGACAUGUUUGCUAAACAUGCGUAUGGGUAACUGUACCAAGGGUUCGAAUCCCUUACUCUCCG
rnacentral:tRNA from 1 species